AAAUGCAGCUAGAGUGCCAGCCACAGUCUCUCCACACACAGCAAGACAUAGGCAAUAACUGGCUUGCAGGCAGCCCCUGUCGCCAGGGAGCCCAUCAAACAAAUGCUGUGUUUGCUAUGCAUCAGCUUAAUUGUUACAUCUGCACUAUUCGAGAAAAGUUUGUCUUGAAAUAAUGGAGUGGUGAAGUGGUCCCAGGCAUUCAGUCCUCCCGUUCUGGGCUGUUGGACCUGAGUGCUGCCUGAACUGCUUUCCUUCUCUUUCUCUCAGCCAGAUGGUUGUCUGGUUCUUCCUCUUUUGCUUUUGAAAGAUGGCAAGGGCCAUCUCUGUGGACAGGUCAGUCUUUUUUCUUUUUUUUUCCUCCAUCAUUUUCUGGUGUUAUCAACAUGGAUAUAGAAACAUACCCAAACACUUUUUUUUUUUUUUUUUUUUGCAGUGUCUUGAGUGAUGUUUUCAGUGCUUGGCUUAAAAAUUUCCAGCUCCUAUUUUAAAAGUGAUUCCACCAAUGUCACCACCAGUCAUUCUGAGGACUUCAUAAUUGACACUGCAGCUGAAUUUAUACCCUACCUCAUUGGAGUGCUCUGUUUUGCUCUUCUAAUGCAGUGCUAUCUGAUAAUUUAAAAUCAUACUUCUGUUUUUCCAUUCCUUCUCCCAAGUCAGCAGCUUAACAUCUUGGAUACUGAAACACUUAAGUCCUAUUUUUGGCUCAGCAAAUGUUUUAGAGCAUGGCAACAAAAAGAAGUGGAGCCAACCAAAAGUUUGAAUUCUGUGUUUUGAUUUUAUAAUUUUAAUAUCAGUUCAGUACUAGUAUAGAAUUAAUACAAAUAGAUCUUUAAAAAGACUAGUCUUUUUCUGAAUAGCUGUGACUUUAGUUUGCAUAAUUAACAUACCUCCAGACCACGUUUAUUUAGUCAGACCAUUUCUGAUUAAAAUUAAAAUCUUUGCAAUUACUGAGGCAAAAGCAUCUCUAAAAUUUAGGUGCAUUUUAGACUCUUACAUUCAGAGAGAGCUUUUCAGCAGAGGAAAGUGUUUCAUUCUCUCUUCUUAAAUUUUCCGGCUGACAUAAUCUCUGUCACUCCAGAACGAUGAAAAUAACUUCUGACUGAAAAAUACAAUUUUUCAAAGGAAAAAUGAGAUUCUGAUUUUUCACCUGCCAGCUGCAAUAUUAAAAGCAGUUAAGAUCAAGAGUGAGAGGACACUGCUACAGUUACGUAUCUGCUUCUUAGUGAACACAAUUUAGUAAAAGGGCAAUAGAUCCAAUAUAUCUGCAAAUGGAAUCUUACUUAACUUCACUUUCUUGCUCUGAACAGUUUGUCAAAAUCUGCAGUGGAAUAGUGAAAAGGUGUACUGAUUCCUAGCAAUGUACUGGAGGAAGUGGCCACUCUGAGAGCUUAUUUUGUGAUCUUUCAUGAGCACCCGGUUAACACACAUCUUGUAAUGCAAUCACAGUAGUAGAAAAGCUAUUGUGACAACUUCCGGAUUUUUAUUCAAAUUCAUUUUAUUAUGAGUUGAUCCCAUUAUAAAUUCUUAUAGUUUUUUUAAGUUCCAUAUAACUUAUUACUUAUUAAAAUGAAGUUCAGUAAGCAAUCUGUGCUCUAGCUUGAAUCCAAG
ensembl:lncRNA